AACGAACGCUGGCGGCGUGCCUAACACAUGCAAGUCGAACGGAUGUAGCAAUACAUUAGUGGCGCACGGGUGAGUAAUACAUGGGUAACCUGCCCUACAGCUUGGGAUAGCUACGCGGAAAGUGGUAGGUAAUACCGGAUACGUUGUACUUAUAAUUUAGGUACAAGAAAGCGUAGCCGCAAGGCCGGCACUGAAGGAUGGGCUCAUGUCCUAUUAGCUAGUUGGCGGGGAACGCCCACCAAGGCGAAGAUGGGUAGCUGGUCUGAGAGGACGAUCAGCCACACUGGAACUGAGACACGGUCC
rnacentral:rRNA from 1 species